rfam:Dufourea novaeangliae contig2125, whole genome shotgun sequence.
CAAUCGGCCCCUUUUGGGGCCACCAAUUUUCGUAACGUAGGAACA